rnacentral:misc_RNA from 1 species
GUAGGUGAACCUGCGGAGGGAUCAUUACCGAGUGAGGGCCUCCGGGUCCGACCUCCAACCCCAUGUUAUCUGACCCUGUUGCCUCGGGGGCGACCCGGCCUUCGGGCGUCUUGGGGCCCCCGGUGGACCACUCAACACUGCAUCUUUGCGUCUGAGUUAUAUUUUGAAUCAAUCAAAACUUUCAACAACGGAUCUCUUGGUUCUG